rnacentral:rRNA from 1 species
AGAGUUUGAUCAUGGCUCAGAUUGAACGCUGGCGGUAUGCUUAACACAUGCAAGUCGGACGGUAACAGGCCUUCGGGCGCUGACGAGUGGCGGACGGGUGAGUAACGCGUAGGAAUCUGCCUCAUAGUGGGGGACAACUUGGGGAAACUCAAGCUAAUACCGCAUACGCCCUACGGGGGAAAGCGGGGGACCUUCGGGCCUCGCGCUAUGACAUGAGCCUGCGUUAGAUUAGCUAGUUGGUGGGGUAAAAGCCUACCAAGGCGACGAUCUAUAGCUGGUCUGAGAGGACGAUCAGCCACACUGGGACUGAGACACGGCCCAGACUCCUACGGGAGGCAGCAGUGGGGAAUAUUGGACAAUGGGCGCAAGCCUGAUCCAGCAAUACCGCGUGUGUGAAGAAGCCUGAGGGUUGUAAAGCACUUUCAAUUGGGACGAAAACCUGUCGGCCAAUACCCGGCAGCUUGACAUUACCUUUAGAAGAAGCACCGGCUAACUCCGUGCCAGCAGCCGCGGUAAUACGGAGGGUGCGAGCGUUAAUCGGAAUUACUGGGCGUAAAGCGUGCGUAGGCGGUUAUUUAAGUCAGAUGUGAAAGCCCCGGGCUUAACCUGGGAACUGCAUUUGAUACUGGGUAACUAGAGUUUAGUAGAGGAGAGUGGAAUUUCAGGUGUAGCGGUGAAAUGCGUAGAGAUCUGAAGGAACACCAGUGGCGAAGGCGACUCUCUGGACUAAAACUGACGCUGAGGUACGAAAGCGUGGGUAGCAAACAGGAUUAGAUACCCUGGUAGUCCACGCCGUAAACGAUGUCAACUAGCCGUUGGGCCUUUUAACAGGCUUAGUGGCGCAGCUAACGCAUUAAGUUGACCGCCUGGGGAGUACGGCCGCAAGGUUAAAACUCAAAUGAAUUGACGGGGGCCCGCACAAGCGGUGGAGCAUGUGGUUUAAUUCGAUGCAACGCGAAGAACCUUACCUACCCUUGACAUCCAGAGAAUCUGUUAGAGAUAGCGGAGUG